rnacentral:lncRNA from 1 species
CGUCAAGAUUGAUUCUGAAGAACCCGGCGUGGUGUUAAUCGCUUUAACCUUGUUAAGAGCUUCCUCGAUCCCUGCCGUGCUCGGAUGUGAUCUUGAAGGUAAACUGAUGGAUCUUAGUUGUUUCUUGAUAGUCAUAUUCAACACUUUUUUCCUCUCCUUUUUGUGUUUUUUUUAUAAAGGUGUUUUGAGUUUUUUUUUCCCUUUCUUUGAUCGAUCUGAUUUAUCCAAUUCGAUGUACACAUGCAUAUUUAUACAACCAACAAUAAUUGAAUUGUUAAAUUUUAUUGGUCCGAUUAUCACUGGCAAAUCUGUGACUUUCUGAGCUGUCGGGUUAUUAUAUUGGUCAAAUUAUUUGGCCACAGAGUAAAGCCUGAUGAGUCAUCGUUUGUGGUGUCUCUGGUUUCGCCACAUUAUCAAUACACAUUUUUUGUUAUAUUUAAAUUUAAAAGUAUCGACGGUCAUAAAGUUAUCUCGGUAGGUUACUAGAUCCAGAUCUUCCUCAACCUUAUAUUAUCCAAUCAUAUUCAAGAAGGUUGCUUACUACGAAGAGAUUUUUGUACAGGGAAAUAAAAUAAUGUUUUUAUAUAAGUUCCUCUGCAUGGCUUCUCACAUUAUGACACGUCCAAGAGGAUCACGGGUUUUGAGUUUAUUUACUUGCGUGAUUUCACACACUUUUUCCUGUAAUCUGAUUGACUAACGUGUAUAUUUAUUAGAAACGAAGAACAUUUGAUGAUCAUAUCGCUUAGCAUGUCUGACUUCGUAUAGACGCAUAUAUUUUUGAAAAAUAAUUUAAAAUUGAAUCAUCAUAUUUUAUAGUUGACACAAUUAAAAUAGACUUCUCAACUAAAAGAUGUUUUUUUGACAAGCGAGACGGUAUCUUUAAAUUGACCAACAAUAGUAAAUCUUCCAGCAAUGGUUACUCUCUGAGACUACUAUUGAUUUGUAUUAUUACACGUGUAUAAACGCUAUGCUUAAUUUGUAGAUUCAUAUCACAAAAUAUCCAUAUCAUGGAUUUGCCCCACGUAUAUUGUCCCUUGCGCCAGGUACACGUGUAAAAUGCCUAACAUUUUUAGUUGAACUGUGUUUUGCUUUUAGGUGUGUGGGCACCAAUUAUUCCAUGUUCCAUCACGCUAUGCUAAUGUUAUUAUUUAUGUUCAAAAGUUCACUUUCGUCGAAAUAAAAAAAAUGAAACUAACAUUCACUCCACAAGUUUGUUCCAUUUCUUUCUUAUAAAAAGAAUAUUCCAAAUAUAUUCCAUCUCCACUUUAUCAUUAAUUAUUAAUAGAAACCUUAUAUUUUUUUAUAUUUACCUAUUUUACCUAACUAUUUUGUUUUAACAAUAAUCCAACAUAAUCAUUAUUUAAUAUUUUCAUAUAAUAAAUUUAUUACAUAACAUGAAUAAACAAACAUAAAACAUCAUAAUUUGUAUAAAAAAACACCAUAUAUAACUUUAUAAUUGAUUAACAAAAGUAUUUAGAGUAAGAAAUGAGUUUAUUUAUCUUUGAUUCUUUUAAAACGAUAAAAAAAAAAAACAAAACAAAACAUGCCUACAAAUGCUAUAAAGAAUUAAGUCUCCGACUCUCGCGUAUUGAACAAUCCUUUCCAGUGCUGCAAUUUUUAAAUAUUACAAUACUACAACAAUGGAUUUGCAAACGAGAUAAUUUAAGAAGCAACAAUACGAAUAAUGUGGUUCUUAAAAAAAAAAUCCAUACGAAUGUAGUUAUUGUGUACUUCAACGAAACAAACCGAAGAAAACAAUGUGGACAAGGAAGAAUAAUGUUUGCAUGCAGAACCUUAAAUUAAGCAAGAAAAUAGAAAAUUCAAAUGUUUUAGGUCACGCAGAGCCUUCACUCGGCUUUGUCCUCUUUUGCAUCUUCUUCAUCUUGUGGUGGUGACCUGUUGAGAUCAAACUUUGGAGUAGUAGUUCCACAUUCCUCCUCCUCCUCAUCGAUUGGGUCAGCGUUCAAAUCGAUUUUCAAUCCCCCAGUGCCUAAACCAAACCCUCCACCACCGCAAGAAGCAGCAACAUCCCCGCCAGAUGCUUCCACGGCCGCAUUAAAUGUGGGGGGAGGUAAGAAGCCAGAGUAACCACGGUCUCUAUGAGCCCGUAAGUGGCCGAAGACGGCUUUCCAAGAAAGAAAACUUCUCCCGCAAACGUUACAUUUAGGAGGACCUUCAGGUGGGUUGAUCAACUUAGGAGAACCUUUCUUCCUAGGCUUCUUUGCCGGCUCUUCUUCUCCAGCAGACACGGUGGCUUCAGAACCGGACGCGCCGGCCACAUCUGCCAAGUCGUCCAACAUAACCGUCCUUGGACGACGAGCCUUUUUCUUCUUAACUGUUCCACCACUUCCACCAACCUCUUGUUCCAUGUUGUCUUUUGUCACCGCCGCUUCUUGAGCGGCAGCAAUCAAUAAGUCAGCCGCAGCGACGGCUUUUUGACGGGUUACCUGAUCCACAUCACUAAGACUCAGUGCGGGAAGGGCGAGAACUAUUUCGCGCAUCUCCCCUUCUUCUUCUUCAUCGCUCCAGAGGUAAUCACUUUCAUCAGAAUUUUCAUUAAUUCUUUCCUCAGUGUUCACUUUUGUUUUCUCGGGAUCACUCAUGAUUUUGACUUUGUUGAGAGUAAUAAGUUUUGCUGAGACCGAAAUGGUGUUUAUAUAGUUUCUUUGAUCACAUGACGGUUAUGACCGUUACCGCAUCCUGUGUCUGAUGUCUAUAUCUCUCUAUUGGCCUCUCCCGCCUUUUCAUUUGAAGGUUGCGUCCGUUAGAUCCAGUUAAAAACCGAAAAUUGAUAUGAAAUGGUAAGCCAUAUAUAAAUUGGUUUCUUCAGUCGGUCGAAAUGAACCGGAAAUUGAGAACUGAAAUCAUAUACAUCAUUGAUUGUGCUAGUAUUGUUUGUGGGCCAUGUUCAUUACAUGGUCUGAAUUCGCUUAGCCACUACUUAAGAAUAUCAUGAUUUUAUUAUUAUUUUGACAUAAGAAUAUUAUGAAUUCUGGUAGGUUUUUUUUUUGUCAACUGAAUUCUGGUAGGUUGAAACUAGUUUUUUCCUGUAUAACUAUUUUUUUGCUACAUUUUGAUUCUAAAUUUUAGGCUAUGUACUUUAUUUUUAAUAUUAAAUCGGGUUGGUAUAUAUUAUAUAUUAUUCUUGAUUUUUAGUACAAUUUUGAUAAAAUCCUUAGAGUUUGUUGUUUUGGAAAAUCUGAUAUAAUAGCGUUCUAAACGAAUUCCAAUUGUUGACAAAAAAAAUACGAAUUCCAAUUUUAAAUUUUAAUUCAAGAAACUGGUGUUGUCAUUUGAAUUAUCGUUCCAUUGCAUUUUCUUCACACGAUGGCUUGUAUGUAUACCUGUAUUGUAUCUAUUUUUACAAAAUGUAUUUAAUUAUCUUCUACGUUUAUCUGUUUGAUUAGUGUACAAAAUAUUUUUUCGGCAAAUUCUCUAAAGUCGAAUGCCUACGAAAGUUACCACUUUACAGUUUACAUGCAUAAUUUAGAAUUUAAUGAGAGAUUAUGUUGAGAAGCGAGGCUCGUGUUCUUAUCAACCUUCGAAAUAAACCUUCUAGAUACUUCUCGAAUCCGUCAAUGCUCAUCUCGACCUCUUCAAGCUUAUUUUGUAGGUCAUCACGAGAGCAACAUAUCGAUGAACCCAAACUCUCCAACUCGUUCUUCGUCUCCUCAUGAUGAACCUUCUUUUUCUUUAGUACCGAAGACAACUUGCUCUUAAUGUUACUUUCUCGUCCCGACAAGAACUCCAAGAACGACUUCAACACCGACACGCUAACUGAAACUACUCGUCUCAUCGCAUUUAUAACUGCCGCAAGGUGUUCAUCUUGUUGGCCAUCACUUACCCCCGACGACGAUGAACAUGACUCUCCAUUGAAUUUCUUCAAGGAUCCAAGAACCUUCUUAGUUUCUUUUCUCAUGUUCUUUCUAAAUCUGACAUAGCCAGCGACAGCGACAUCGAGUUGAUCAGCUCCUCCUCUGGCUACUUUCUUGCGUCUGACACAUGACUGAACACCACGAACAUGUUCGUGAGUCUCCACCAUGAGGUCUCUAGAGAUAUUGCAUAUAUCCAUUAGCCUUAAAGACCCAUCGAGCAUCUCCUCCAUAAACUCUGAUACAUCCGACGACAUAACACGCUGAGUCGAACCCAUUUUAAGAAACUCCUCCGUACGAUUAUAGAGCUCCUCCAAACCAGCCAAUGCCGUCAAGAUUGAUUCUGAAGAACCCGGCGUGGUGUUAAUCGCUUUAACCUUGUUAAGAGCUUCCUCGAUCCCUGCCGUGCUCGGAUGUGAUCUUGAAGGUAAACUGAUGGAUCUUAGUUGUUUCUUGAUAGUCAUAUUCAACACUUUUUUCCUCUCCUUUUUGUGUUUUUUUUAUAAAGGUGUUUUGAGUUUUUUUUUCCCUUUCUU